AUUCCGGUUGAUCCUGCCGGAGGCCAUUGCUAUCGGAGUCCGAUUUAGCCAUGCUAGUUGCACGAGUUCACACUCGUAGCAUAUAGCUCAGUAACACGUGGUCAAGCUACCCUGCAGACCGCAAUAACCUCGGGAAACUGAGGCCAAUAGCGGAUAUAACUCUCAUGCUGGAGUGCAGAGAGUUAGAAACGUUCCGGCGCUGUAGGAUGUGGCUGCGGCCGAUUAGGUAAUGGUGGUACCGGCCCACCAUGCCGAUAAUCCGUACAGGUUGUGAGAGCAAGAGCCUGGAGACGGUAUCUGAGACAGAUACCGGGCCUCUACGGGGCGCAGCAGGCUGUCGAUGGCUCCGGAAUAUUUGACCUGCAGCAGUCUGAUAUCGAAACCCGAAUUAUUACCGUUUCAAAAAGUUGGGUUUUCUUCUCAAGUCUAAAAAAUGCAGAACGGGAACACUACGAUAGGCACGUUGAUAAGUACGGACAACCCCCUACGUGGAAUGAAAAGCGUCCGUAGCUUUUGAUUGAAGUGCAUUGGGUCGACUGCUCAAUUGGUCGGUGUCGGUGGAAACGAUUCACAGCUCCAACACGUGAGACUGAAAGGUCCGUCAACCGUAGACUUGCAGAUUCGAAUUCUGACUAACCCCACAUGGGGAAACCACGUUGAGAGACCGGACCCGACAGUGAGGGACGAAAGCCAGGGUCUCGAACCGGAUUAGAUACCCGGGUAGUCCUGGCUGUAAACAAUGCUCGCUAGGUAUGUCACGCGCCAUGAGCACGUGAUGUGCCGUAGUGAAGACGAUAAGCGAGCCGCCUGGGAAGUACGUCCGCAAGGAUGAAACUUAAAGGAAUUGGCGGGGGAGCACUACAACCGGAGGAGCCUGCGGUUUAAUUGGACUCAACGCCGGACAUCUCACCUGCUCCGACUACAGUAAUGACGAUCAGGUUGAUGACCUUAUCACGAGCUGUAGAGAGGAGGUGCAUGGCCGCCGUCAGCUCGUACCGUGAGGCGUCCUGUUAAGUCAGGCAACGAGCGAGACCCACACAUCUAAUUGCCAGCAGCAGUUCCGACUGGCUGGGUACAUUAGAUGGACUGCCAGUGCCAAACUGGAGGAAGGAAUGGGCAACGGUAGGUCAGUAUGCCCCGAAUGAGCUGGGCUACACGCGGGCUACAAUGGCCAGAACAAUGGGUUGCAAUCUCGAAAGAGACGCUAAUCUCCUAAAUCUGGUCGUAGUUCGGAUUGAGGGCUGAAACUCGCCCUCAUGAAGCUGGAUUCGGUAGUAAUCGCAUUUCACAAGAGUGCGGUGAAUACGUCCCUGCUCCUUGCACACACCGCCCGUCAAAGCACCCGAGUGAGGUCCGGAUGAGGCUAUCGCAAGAUAGUCGAAUCUGGGCUUCGCAAGGGGGCUUAAGUCGUAACAAGGUAGCCGUAGGGGAAUCUGCGGCUGGAUCACCUCCUAACGAACGG
rnacentral:rRNA from 1 species